rnacentral:rRNA from 1 species
UACGGGGGGGGGGCAAGCGUUGUUCGGAAUUACUGGGCGUAAAGGGCGCGUAGGCGGCCUUCUAAGUCGGACGUGAAAUCCCUCGGCUUAACCGAGGAACUGCGUCCGAUACUGAAAGGCUUGAAUCCGGGAGAGGGAUGUGGAAUUCCAGGUGUAGCGGUGAAAUGCGUAGAUAUCUGGAGGAACACCGGUGGCGAAGGCGGCAUCCUGGACCGGCAUUGACGCUGAGGCGCGAAAGCUAGGGGAGCAACGGGG